AUGCAAGAGCGCAGGGUGAUUGCUUAUGCCUCCCGUCAAGUACGUCCUCAUGAAGAGAACUACCCAGUUCAUGACCUUGAGCUUGCUGCGGUUAUCUUUGCACUGAAGCUAUGGCGACAGUACCUUCUCGGUAAUCAUUGCGAGAUCUUUAGCGAUCAUCAGAGUCUGAAGUACCUGUUUACUCAGCCAGAUCUGAACCUCCGACAACAGCGAUGGAUGGAAGCUAUUGCUGACUACAACUGCGGUAUAUCCUAUACCCCUGGCAAGGCUAAUGUAAUGGCCGAUGCCCUGAGCCGUAAGUCUUAUUGCAACAAUCACAUGGUCUUCAAAGCUCAACCCCGCCUUUAUGAAGAGCUAUGCAAGCUGAACCUUCAACUAGUUCCACAGGGUUCUCUGAAUAACCUUGUCCUGGAACCAACUCUUCUCAAGGCUAUUAAGUCUGCACAAGCCAAAGAUUCUCACGUUGAUUUGAUGAAAAAGGAUAUUGCCUUAGAGAAAUCUAGAGAUUUCUCACUUGGUGAAGAUGGAACCUUAUACUUCAGAGAUCGCAUUGUAGUGCCCCGGUUCAAGCUUAUGACAGAGAAGGUUAUGAAAGAAGCACAUGACACCCCUCUCUCUAUUCAUCCGGGAAGUACCAAGAUGUAUCUAGACAUCCGUCAGAAGUACUGGUGGUCUAAAAUGAAGCAAGACAUUGCUCGAUAUAUCGAAGAAUGUGACGUUUGUCGUCGCGUCAAAGAAGAACAUCAGAAACCGGCUGGACUUCUACAACCGCUUCUGAUUCCUGAAUGGAAGUGGGAUAAGAUCCAAAUGGACUUCGUCACUGGCCUUCCCAAGUCUCAGAAAGGUAACGAUGCUAUCUUUGUCGUGAUCGACCAAUUCUCGAAGGUUGCUCACUUUCUGCCAGUCAAGGAGACUAUCACUGCUAGUCAAUUAGCAAACUUGUAUAUCUCCAGAAUUGUGUCACUCCACGGCAUUCCGAAGGAGAUCAGUUUAGACCGCGACAUUAUUUUCACUUCGAAGUUCUGGGAUAGUUUCCAAGAGGCAAUGGGAACUCAUAUUACCUGGAGCACUGCUUAUCAUCCCCAAUCCCAAGGCCAAGUCGAGCGAGUCAAUCAAAUUCUUGAAGACAUGCUUCGGGCUUGUGUUAUUUCUUUCGGCAAGAAGUGGGAAGAAUCUCUCCCUUAUGCGGAGUUCUCUUAUAACAACAGUUAUCAAGCCAGCUUGAAAAUGGCACCCUUUGAAGUGCUUUAUGGACGCAAGUGCCGAACCCCUCUGAAUUGGUCAGAAACUGGGGAACGGACGCUCAUUGGUCCAGACAUUAUUCAACAAGCUGAAGAGCAGGUACGCAUUCUCCGGGAUAAUCUCAAGGCGGCCCAGUCCCGCCAGAAGAGCAACUAUGACCGGAAACACUGGGGUUCAACUUAUCAACCUGGUGAACAAGCUUAUUUGCGUGUCACUCCUUUGAGAGGCACUCAUCGGUUCGGAGUCAAGGGCAAGGUAGCUCCGCGCUACAUUGGUCCUUUCCGCAUUCUGACCCGUCAUGGACUGGUGGCUUAUCAACUGGAGUUGCCACCUCAGUUCUCUCACGUCCAUGACGUCUUCCAUGUGUCGCAACUUCGUCGUUGCUUCAAGGACCCGGAACGUGAAGUGGAUCCGGAAUUGAUUGAAAUUCAAGAUGAUCUCACAUACAAAGAGCAUCCGAUCCGCAUUCUUGAAGAAGCUGAACGUCGAACCCGCCAGAAGGUUACCAGGUUCCUCAAGGUGCAAUGGUCGAAUCAUACUAAAGAUGAAGCCACUUGGGAACGCGAAGAUAACCUCCGGGCUGAAUACCCCGACCUGUUCCCUUCUACCUCUUAA
rnacentral:rRNA from 1 species